AUGGCAAUAGACCCUCUCAGUAAGCUCCUAAAUAAGUGCCAAAGUGGGUACAACCUAAGUCAAACUCGCAAAAAAGACCCAAACAAAACAGUAAACCUUCUACUGUUCAUGGAUGACCUUAAGCUCUAUGCAAGCUCUGACGCAGAACUCCACCAACUGCUCCAGGCUGUACACACCUUCUCCAAUGACAUCGAGAUGAAGUUUGGCCUUGAUAAAUGUGCCAAAUGCACAAUGCGCAGUGGAAAAAAGACCCACACCGAGAACAUCCAGCUAGACGAGGCCAGUGAAAUCAGAGACCUAAUGGAGCAUGAGCCAUACAAAUACCUUGGCAUUGAGGAAAAUGACAGCAUACAGCAUACCACCAUGAGGAAGAAGGCAGGCAGUGAAUACCUCAGCCGUCUGAAGAAGAUCUGCAAGACGCAACUCACCAACAAAAACAAAAUAACUGCCAUAAACCAACUUGCCAUGCCAGUGCUAAGUUACAGCUUUGGCAUUAUUGACUGGCCUCAAACCGAAAUAAAUAAAUUAGAUGUAAAAACAAGGAAAACUUUAACACUCCACAAGGUCAUCUACAGAAAUCAGUGCCUUCCAAGACUGUAUAUGCCAAGAAGAGAGGGAGGCCUGGGACUGUCUGAAGUUAACCACCAACACAGAGCCACUAUGGUGAGCAUCGGCCAAUACCUCAGAAGCUCCCUAAGUCCAAACAUUGCCAGGGUCCGGGAACACCACACCAGCAAAGCCAGCAAAAACACCUCAAUUACUAAGCUGGCCCAGCAUUUUGGACAGGAUUGUAUAGUAGAUGAGCAGGAAACAGAAAACACACCAGCCACCAAAAUGGCCAGAAAGAGCCGUUCAAAAUUCACCAGGAAGUUCCAGAACACCAACUUAACUGAGUGGGCAGAACACCAACGUGCCAAGUUUUUCCUGCAAGAGCUCUCCAAAGACUACAUUGACAAGGAGAGCUCUCUGAACUGGCUCACCAAAGGAACCCUCCAUUACGAUCAGGAGAGGCUGAUAAUGGCAGCACAAGACCAGGCCAUAAUGACCAACGCUUUCAAAAAAAUGGCUGGUCUCAGUAACAACAACAAAUGCAGGUUCUGCCACACUGAAAUUGAAAGUGUGAGCCACCUGAUCUGCAGCUGCCAGACUCUGCUAGCCGAUGGCUACUACACAGUCAGGCAUGAUGAAGUGUGCAAAUACCUACACUGGACCAUCUGCAACAGCCUGAACAUCAAGUGCUCUAGCAAAGUGUGGGAACAUCAGCCAGAGAAAAUCACCGGAAAUGAGACGCACACCAUCUACUAUGACCAGGUAAUUCCAACAGCUACCUACCUAGAUAAUGCUGCAGUGAAACCGGACCUGGUUGUGUGGAACAGGAAAGAAAAAGUGGCUAUGAUAGUUGAGGUCAGUAUCCCACAUGACAGCGGGCUAAACAGAGCUGAAAGGGAGAAGGUCACCAAAUAUCAAGGCCUGAUGCAUGAUAUGAAAAGAAACUGGAAAUUGAAGAACAUCUCGAUUGUGCCAGUCAUUGCCGGAGCAACAGGCCUACUGAAAAAGAACUUCAAAGACCAUCUAGCUAAAAUCCCAGGAAACCCGAGGGCAACAGAAAUCCAAACAAUUGCCCUUAAGGGAACCACUACCAUCCUAAACAGAACCCUCGGUUGCAGCCUCUAAAAAGUGGGUGAUUGUUAGGCACUUGGCAGAGUGCCCCAUCACCCAUAAUCAAGACUGAAAAAGUAAACUAAAACAAAAAAAGUGAAAGACCUCAUGAAUGCCAAGAGUGUGGCAAGAGGUUCGGUUCUGUCUUAUCUCAAUGCGCAUAUCUUCAGACACUCUGGCCUGAGAGAGUUCAAGUGUGAUGUUUGUGGGAAGCAUUUCAAGGUGAAGGCAGAUAUUGCCAAACACAUGAAGAUCCACUUCCCCUGAGGUGCUGUGUGUGGUGGUGGAGGGCGGCGGUUGGCAGCCACGUCCUGGUUCUGCUGACGGGUCUUCUUCCUCGAUGCAUCAGCAUGAGUUUCCACCGGUCUGAUCUUUCUCCACCUGUCAUGAUCCCAGCGGUGGUCAGUGUGCUUAGCUAGGAACCCGCGGGCCAGUCAGCACCUGCCUGGCCCAGCCUUUCGGCCUUCCAUUUGAGCUGUCUGUGAAUGGCUACCUGCGACACCUUGGUAAAGUAAACUGUGGUAACCCGGACUUCACACUGCCCUGUUACUUUGUUUCUACCCACCCCAGGCUCCAAGGUCAGUGUGGACACUUUGGGUUGUAUUAUGAGACAUUUUGUCGCCCAAGAACACAUAUUUGACAAGGCUUUCUUAGUUGUGGGCAUUUCCAGGAGUAAUUUUAUGACCCUGGUGGUAGUUUGACCCUUCUUCUGUACCAUGAACCUGAAGAAACACUUAUUGGAACUCGAGUGACCCCCUCUUUGACCUUUAGAAAUAGCUCAUGUGAGAAGCGAAAGUGUCUUAUAAUACUGACCUUUAUCUUUGCUCACCAUUCUGUCAUCGUUGUUCAGCAUCUUCUGAGUGUCCACAUACUUCAGAACUAAUGGACGUAUUCUCAACGCUUCCAGCUCUCACCGCCACCGCUUCCCAGGGCCACAAGGGAGAUAGGUCAGGUUCCCAUGAGUGUUUCCACGUUCAUGGUGCAGAAGCCUUGUCGAGCUAUCACUAUAUGGGCGGUUUCCUUCCGUCUGUACACUCGCGAACGUAGAUGUGGCACCUAUGCAUUGCUAGUUCAUGAUUGCGUCAAGAUCAACUUUUUAUUUUUAGUGAUGUAUUCGAAUGAUUGUGUUUACAAAGAACCCUCAAGCUCUCUUAUAUAAACAGCAAACAUGCAUUGAUAAUAUACUAUACAAGCACACGAGAGGCAUGCAUGUAUCAAGCAGAAUUGUCAGGUCGUGCCUUUCAAAUACCUAUCAUUCGUCUCAUUUCAGGUAUACAAAAAGACAUCUGGUCCUGCAGUGCCUGUACCUACAUGAGAACUUUGCUAUUUGUUGCAUGCAAAUAAGCCGGGUAAUAUUUGAAAUAGCCUACCGGUGGCAUCACACUCAACAGUUGUUGUUUACUAUUUCAUGUUGUGUUAAAUAUAAAUCAUUAUUGACAUUCAGUGAGUUAUCAAAAAACCUUUAUUUCCACUUUCAGAACCAGGUUCCUUUUAAUGUACGUACUUGAAAUGAGAUGAAUUAUAGGCAUUUGAAAAGUCAUAGAUUGUUCAAGUAUGAUCUGACUACACUGUUGGAUACAAGCUUGUCUUUUCUUGUGCUUGUGUGGUGUACUAUCGAUGCAAAUCGCCAUGUUUGGGAUGUAUUAGGACAGGUUUUUUUGCAUACAUAAACAUUCAAAUAUAUUAUUGAGAAAUCAGCUUGAAUAUCUUGACAACAGUUGAUUUUCACAAAUUCACGAACUAGAAAUGUGCAGGUGCCACAUAUAUCAAAAUUCUUGCUUUGUUGGACAGAUGAAGUGAAGCCGAGUAUGGGGUCACACCACCAUCCUUGGAAACACCCUCGACAGCCUCCACCAAAGCCUUGCCAAGUGUAGGUUUCCGAGGCUGGAGGGAGUCCCUGGAGCCCGGCGCUGCUGCAGGCACUCCCCCGGCCAGGCAAGGCGACUCCCCUGGACAGCCCAAGGUGGAGGUGCCGGGAGGCCAGCCAUGCCGGGUGAGAAGAUCCCUGGGGACCAGAGGCUGCCGGAGCACCCCGGCUGUCCUGCACCCCAUGGCGGGGGGCGUCUGCCCAGCCCUGGGAAGGCAGGUCACCCGGGCAGGACUGCUGACACAGCUGUUGGCCCUGUGGUGCUGAGGUUGGUGUCGGGGCCGCCUGGGGGUGCUGUCGCCCUAGGGGUGAGGAGGACACUGCCCGGGAGUCUGGGAUGACCUGCAGACAAGACAACACGUGAGGAAGGACCACAGGAGCUGGCAGCAGUGAAGGAUCCUGAAGUGCAUCACUGAAGGCAGCACACCAACCGGACCACCGAUGGCCUGUAGGGGCACUGUACCAGGGCCACACAGCCCGGAUAAGUGUGGCAGGCGUUUAGAGUCCUUUGUGUGGCUGGGGGGUUGUUAACAUACUGUGGGGGGACAUCCUGUGGGUUGUGGCAAGGUCUCUCUCUCUCUCUCUCUCUCUCUCUCUCUCUCUCUCUCUCUCUCUCUCUCUCUCUCUCUCUCUCUC